GACGAACGCUGGCGGCGUGCUUUACACAUGCAAGUGGAGCGACGAACCUGGCUUCGGCCAGGGGCAAAGCCGCGAACGGGUGAGUAACACGUGGAUUAUCUGCCCCAAUGACCGGGACAACCCGAGGAAACUCGGGCUAAUACCGGAUGUGCUCUUAGGAGGAAAGGAAGCUUCGGCCUCCGCAUUGGGAUGAGUCCGCGGCGCAUUAGUUUGUUGGUGGGGUAAUGGCCCACCAAGGCGACGAUGCGUAGCUGGUCUGAGAGGACGAUCAGCCACACUGGAACUGAGACACGGUCCAGACUCCUACGGGAGGCAGCAGUGGGGAAUCUUGCGCAAUGCACGAAAGUGUGACGCAGCAACGCCGCGUGCGGGAAGAAGGUCUUCGGAUCGUAAACCGCUUUCAGUUGGGACGAGGGUCAGCUGGUGAAUAGCCAGUCUGACUGACGGUACCUUCAGAAGAAGCCCCGGCUAACUACGUGCCAGCAGCCGCCGCCG
rnacentral:rRNA from 1 species